rnacentral:rRNA from 1 species
AUGGCGCAACCUAAUGUCAAGCUUCUGUGCUAGAAUGUGCGUGGCCUAAAUGCCCCUGCCCGUCAUGACGCCGUGCGUGACCUCAUCCGUUACUACAACGCCACCAUUGCCUGCCUCUAAGAGACUAAGCUAGAUCACGUCAACGAUACUCUGAUCGCAAGCAUGCUCGGUCCCGCUUUCACGACUAACUACCAUGUCCUCCCGGCUGUUGGGACUGGGGGCAUGAUCAUGGCCAUCUCCGACGCUUACUUCCGCCUUGCUGACUUCCAUGCCACGUUUGGUUCCAUCUCGGCCGCCGUCACCAUGCUGGCUGACAGCAUUGACUGGACACUGUCAUGUGUUUACGGCCCUCAGGGGGAGGACAAGCUGCUUUUCAUCAACGAGCUAAGGGGGUUGAAGUAUAUGGUGAAGCCCCGGUGGCUCAUUCUUGGCGACUUCAACCUGAUCACCAAAGCGGCUGACAAGAACAACCUGAACAUUAACAACCGCCUCAUUGGCAAUUUCCGAUCCGCGCUAAAUCACCUUCAGCUAAAGAGAUGCGGCUUUCAGGCUGUAAAUUCACUUGGUCCAAUGCUCAAGAGAACCGUUGCUAACCAAGAUUGA